GACGAACGCUGGCGGCGUGCUUAACACAUGCAAGUCGAACGGAAAGGCCCUGCUUUUGUGGGGUGCUCGAGUGGCGAACGGGUGAGUAACACGUGAGUAACCUACCCUUGACUUUGGGAUAACUUCAGGAAACUGGGGCUAAUACCGGAUAGGAGCUCCUGCUGCAUGGUGGGGGUUGGAAAGUUUCGGCGGUUGGGGAUGGACUCGCGGCUUAUCAGCUUGUUGGUGGGGUAGUGGCUUACCAAGGCUUUGACGGGUAGCCGGCCUGAGAGGGUGACCGGCCACAUUGGGACUGAGAUACGGCCCAGACUCCUACGGGAGGCAGCAGUGGGGAAUAUUGCACAAAGGGCGGAAGCCUGAUGCAGCAACGCCGCGUGCGGGAUGACGGCCUUCGGGUUGUAAACCGCUUUCGCCUGUGACGAAGCGUGAGUGACGGUAAUGGGUAAAGAAGCACCGGCUAACUACGUG
rnacentral:rRNA from 1 species